GAGAGUUGAUCAUGGCUCAGAACGAACGCUGGCGGCGCGUCUUAAGCAUAGCAAGGUCGAACGGCAAGAGGUAGCAAUACCUCCUAGAGUGGCGGACUGGUGAGUAACACGUAGGGUGACAUACCCGUCAGAUGGGGAUAGCUAUUAGAAAUAGUAGAUAAUACCGAAUACGAGCACAGGGGUUAGAGAUCUGUGAGGAAAGGAGCUAAGGCUCCGCUGAAGGAAUGGCCUGCGGCCCAUUAGCUAGUUGGUGAGGUAAGAGCCCACCAAGGCGAUGAUGGGUAUCCGGCCUUAGAGGGUGAACGGACACAUUGGGACUGAGAUACGGCCCAGACUCCUACGGGAGGCAGCAGCUAAGAAUAUUCCGCAAUGGACGAAAGUCUGACGGAGCGACGCCGUCCGUGGAUGAAGAAGGCCGGAAGGUUGUAAAAUCCUUUUGAAACUGAAGAAUAAGCGUUGUAGGGAAUGACAGCGUGGUGACAGUAGGUUUUGAAUAAGCAACGGCUAAUUACGUGCCAGCCGCGGC
rnacentral:rRNA from 1 species